AUGGUUUAANCCCUUCCCUUACUA
rnacentral:tRNA from 1 species